GGAUUCAUCUUAAUUGGGGUGAUGAAGGAUUGAUUACAUUAUUUUCAAAGAUUUGGAGAUUGCUUCAUCCAGGUGGCAUUCUUGUAUUGGAACCUCAACCUUGGAAGUCGUAUGUAAGCAACUGUCAAGUUUCUGAGAGUUCUAGAAACUGGGCAGGAGGUCACCAAGUGAAUACUCCUUGGAAAUUGAGGACUGUUGCAUGUUUGUAAAUGUUUUAAGCUGGCAUCCUCUAAAGCUAACCAUAUGCUGGCUAGUACUCCUCAUUUUGCUAAC